rnacentral:misc_RNA from 1 species
GGGCGUGGGGAGUGCAGG